CCAGCUGUGAAGGAGGCGGGGCUUCCGUGACGCACCCGGAAGAGAUUUCCACGUGUGUCGCUGUGUUGUUGAGCCUCACGCUGAAGAUGUCGGAGGAUCAGCUGUGUCUGAACAUCAGUGUGUCCUCGUCUCCUUCCCUCAGGAGGAAGCCUCUCACCACUCAGCAGAGAUGGGCCAGAAAGAAGCAGAAUGCAGGGAAGAGGAAGAUGAACUCCUCC